rnacentral:ncRNA from 2 species
CUUUCAUCAAACAGAAAAGGUUUUGCUUAACGCAGAUUAAUCGGGAAUCGUGUGAAAAUCACGAACUGUCGCGCAACUGUAAGUAACACAUCAAGGUUUCAUCAGUUUUGUCCACUGUUCGCCCCUGCGGAUGGGAAGGACGAUGAAAACCGUUACAAGUCAGGAGACCUGCCUGUUUCUGAAUGGACGA